GCCCUUGUAGCUCAACGGAUAGAGCAAACCCGUCCUAAGGGUGAGAUGGGGGUUCAAUUCCCUUCAAGGGCACCA
rnacentral:tRNA from 2 species